rnacentral:rRNA from 1 species
AUUGAACGCUGGCGGCAGGCCUAACACAUGCAAGUCGAACGAGUGGCGGACGGGUGAGUAAUGUCUGGGAAACUGCCUGAUGGAGGGGGAUAACUACUGGAAACGGUAGCUAAUACCGCAUACCAUCAGAUGUGCCCAGCUGGGAUUAGCUAGGUGUGGGGGUAACGGCUAACAAGGGUGACGAUCCCUAGCGGGUCUGAGAGGAUGACCAGCCACACUGGAACGGAGCCACGGUCCAGACUCCUACGGGGGGCAGCAGUGGGGAAUAUUGCACAAUGGGCGCAAGCCUGAUGCAGCCAUGCCGCGUGUAUGAAGAGGGCCUUCGGGUUGUAAAGUACUUUCAGCGGGGAGGCGUUACCCGCAGAAGAAGCACCGGCUAACUCCGUGCCAGCAGCCGCGGUAAUUC